rnacentral:lncRNA from 1 species
CAGGCCUCCCCCUCGGGCGUAGCUCUCAGAGGCGGAGGCGUCCGGCCCCACACUUGGUGCCAACAAGAUCCCACAGCUAUGGGCCCGGACAGACGUGGGACAGAGAGACUGGCCAACUGGGGUGAGCACAGAGGUGCACAGGCGAAUGCCCGGCACCCGAGGACAGGUCCAGGGAACCGGUCCCCUUCAUGGAUCAUAUCACACCUCUGGCUGGGGGACCCCUGACUCCCCCCCGUCCCUAAGAUCAAGCCACAUCUGCUCAACAGCCCGGCGAGGCCACCCCCCAGCCGCGUCUGGCCCACGGUUAAGGCCAGCAAAUCAAGGCUGGAAGAAUGCUUGCGGAAGAAAGGAAACUAAACAGCGUGAUUUUUUUCCUUGCGACUUGGAUUUGAGGGGGAGAUCCAAGGUUCACAGUGCCAGGGCCAGAGUCCCCAGGAAUGGCAGAAAGGCCCAGCAGACUCGAGGCUCCCAUGGGAUACAGGCCAGGCCCUCAAGGCCCAGCCAGCAGCUGCAGAACUGUCUGCCCUGCACACCUGCCAGGACACAGCCAGAGCACAAACAAAAGUCCAGGGAACGUGUGGCCACAGGCUCUCUGUGUCCGAUGGCAACUGUCGGGGAUGCGGUGGAGAUGCACCAGCUGGAGAGGAGCUGAGCCUUCCCUGGGGGACAAGCAGGUGUGCUGUCGGAACGCGCCCUUCCCGCCCCUAAGCAGAAAGGGCACUGCCAACCUUUGGGAGGGAGUCCACAGACCACAAGCACAAAGCCAGCCCAUCGGAGCGCCCAGGCCACGCUGGACAGGGCUGGGCCCCGGAAGCUGGGAUGAGCGGAAGGUACCACCUCUGCAUGGGGGGGGCACCGAGCCCAGGCUGAGGAGGGGGUUCCGGCUCCAACAGUGGGGCCUCUGCUGUUCCAGAAUGUUUCAAACUGACCCGUGGAACUGAACUGUCUCGUUUCCCUGACCAAGGGCUCAUGAUCCGCACACCCCAAGAUGCACUGUGGUUCCCUAGGGAGGGGGGCGGGUCCCCAAGUCAGCGUGGCCGCAUCCCCUGGGGGGGAGCAGGAGCCUGCACGGACUUGCGGGUCGCCUGCGCCCCCUUCUGGCCUCGAGGCAGGCCCUGUGGAGCCUGAGGCGGAGCAGAACAGACAGCAGCGCAGGGGUGACGGGAUGUGGCCUUCUCCCUCCUGAGACCUCUGACCACAGGGCAGGCACCGGAGGCCCUGCCGUGGAAGCCUGACCAGGCUCGUCUGGCCCUGACUCUGAAUGGUGAGGGGACCGCCCCCCGCCCCCGCUCCCGGUCCCCUAGCAGAGCAGGGACCUGGCAGCCAGCACCGGCCGGAGACCAGCGGAGCCGGCACCCUGGGCCGCCACCCCCACCUCCUGCUUGGUAACAGCCUGUAAUCAGCCGGCCUGGCUCCGGUGAUGCCGCCCAGGCCGCAAUCCUACCCGGGCGCAGAGGUCUGGGAAUGCUCUGGAAUGCCCGGAGCGCCAGGACCCGAGGGCAGAUUCCGGGCUGCUCCCGCGCUCACAGACCUCAUUAAUUAUCCUGCCGGGACGGGGAGGCAGGCACGGCCCCAGGAAUCCUGAACAUGGGCAGCCGGCCUUCCCUGGCAUUUGUCCCCAAACAGCUCUAGCUCUGACGGCAGGGGCUCAGCAGGCAGGUGCGGAGGUAGGGUAGACACCAGGCUGGGACACCCGACCCAGAGGCCAGGAAGCAGCCAGGGGCUCUGAGCUCACAGGGCCCACUGCCCAGGCCCCCCGCUCCACCAGGUCUCAGGGCACUGCCAGGCUCGGGGACAGGGACCAGGCAGCGCCCUGAGACCCAGCAGGAUCCAAUGCUGGGGAUGGGGGCACAACCAGUCCCUGAACGGCUCCUGAGCGCAGGAUUGCCCUGGGCACCCCAGAACCAGAACCCACAGCUCAGUCCAGCAACUACUACGCGUAUUGACUCAUUGAGGUGCCAGGGCGCUACGGGGUGAGAGGUGAGCACCAGGGGGAAGGAGCAGGUUAUUGAUGAGAAGGGGCCCCCAGUGGGGGUGUUGGCAGUGGUCCUGGGUACCCCGAGGGGCCUCAGAAGGCAGCCCCUUUCGCCAGAGCAGGACGGUGUGUCCCCACGAGGCUGGCAGGAGGGCACAGAAGGCUUCAUGCUGAGUUCCCUCCCACACCCCACUCUGGGGCAGGGGCCCAGCAGCUGCACUGUGAGGGUCUCUCUCCAGUGCCCAGGCCAAGAGCCUCCCAAGUCCUGGGACCCCUCCCACAUGGCACUCCCCUCCCCAGCCUCCUCAAGCCCCCUCUGCUGCCCCCGUGCCCACCCUUGACACGGGCCCUUCAGCCCCUCCUGGUGUGGGUGCCCGCCCGGGUCACCACGCAGGGCUGGGAGCACUUAUCCAGGCCUCCAGCGGGGCUUCUCUGCUCCUCUCCCCUGCGGAGAAAGCCUGAGCCGGGGAGGGUGCAGGGGGUGCGAGGUCUCAGGGCCGGCACCCCCGCCCCACUCAGCCUGGCCAGGCGGGCCUGCGCCCAGAAUAGAAAGCGCCCAGCCACCCACCACAGCCGGCCAGGGGCUGGGAAACCAGGCACCACUGCUCCCUGGCGAGUGGGCAGCUUCCUGGCUUCACCAGCCCCGCGGCUGCCAGGAGAGGUCAGCCAGAGGCCCGGGCAUGGCCCUCUACCCCAGACACACCCAGGGAGCUCCUGUCCCAGCACGGCGAUGAUCUGGGACCUGUGCAGGGCACCUGGGCUGCACAGAUCCCCCCGGGCACCAUCCAGGCCCACCCACCCCAGCGGGGGCCUCCGGGUGCACCCAGAGGCCAUCGGCCAGCACUGAGCCCACCAUGGACCUCAGCAACUCCGCAAGAGCCAGGGCUCAGGGGCCUCAUCUGUAAAAUGGGACAAGCACCCAGCCCACCCAGGAUGCACCUAGGACACGCCCAGGACUGCCCAUGCAGCCCAGAGAAGGGCACUUCACUGGAAGAGUCUGGGACGGCUUCCUGGGGUGUGGACAGGGCAGCGUGACCAAGGCGGGGGGUCGGGGGGCAGACAGCACAUUCACAGGGUCCUUUCAGGAGACCACCCAGGAGGACGAGCAGGGCUGUGGCCUGGGCAGCCCCAGGGAGGCUCUGAGGCCUGUCCUCCUGCGCAGACCCAGCCUGCAUCCUGCCGGGACAGCGGCCCCGCAGGGACAGCGGCACUUGAGAGGCCCCCUCACCAAAAGUCCAGCCUGGAGGCAUGGAGGCAGGUGGGGGAAUUCGCAGACCCCCACUCCCCGGAGGGCCUGUCGCUACAGGGGGAUCCUGCUGUAAUUAUGUCAUUAGAAGACCACCCGGUCUCGGAAGCCAGCCCUGGGAGGGGCCCAGCCCCAUUGUGCACGGAGCAGGCCUGGAAGACACAGUUGCCCUGAAAGACAGAGGCCCUUUGUGGGUGUGGGGGGGCAAACCUGGUGGUUAACCGAUUCAGGGAGCCCACACGAACCCCCCUCCCCGAGUCAGCCGCUUUGAAGGCGCUGGGAGCCGGCGUGCAGGGGGAGAGGGGUCCCCAGGCUGUCCUGCCCUCUGCAGUCCCGCUGCCCUGGAGGGACGUGACCCCAAGGCCAGGCCAAAGGGUCAGGCCACCCACCUCCUCCACUCAGCCCAGCAGCGCCCCCACCAGGCAGAGACAGCCCCCGCUACAGGCCGAGGAGGCCCUGCAGGCCCAGCGCCAGCCCCUGCAGGGGCUUCUGGAGAUUGCGGGAACUGUCCUCAAAGGAGGCCUUCUAAAUCGAGUUUGUGCAGAGGAGCCAAAGGCCACAUCGCCCACCGGGCUGGGGCAGGGCCCAGCAAGGGGCCUGGCGGGGCGUUGGCUCUGCACCCCCCUCAGGGAAAGGAGGCCUGGCCACAGCCAAUGCCCGGGAGCUCAGCAGUGUCUGGACUGCCGGCCAGGGGUCAGACUCCCACCCUCAGACCCAGGGGUGGGAGGGCAGCCUGGGAGGGCUGCUUCCUCUCCAUUCAUCAAUUAUCCCCGUUUAGAAACAAAGUCACCCUUGAGCCA